GAGUGAAUCGGAAAUAUCAUCGAAAAACAAAUGGAACUGAGAUAAUCAAGACAAUUUGGAAUUUGGCAAGAAAAUAGAAAAAUGUUGCGAAAAAAGGAAUGCAUUUGGAGAAAGAAAUGAAAAGAAUUAUAUAAGAUUCUUUGCUGUUUCAAUAUUUUUAAAUAAAAAGAUGAAAAAUGAACCAAAUUUAUUUAUUUAUUAUAGAAUAAUAGGUCGUCUCGUCUGCCGCUGCCUUCGUCGCUUCAAAUAUACCUUUUCUUUACAAUCUCAUAUGAAAUCUGAAUGUGGUGCAGCUUAUCGUUGCCGAAAUUGCUUAUUUAAGACAAACAAAUUGAAAAUUUGGUUGGAACAUGUCAAGAUUUCACCUACCUGCUACUUAUGAACUGGGCUUCAAAAUGCAUCGACAGCAUUCAUAUCAGCAGCAUAAUGCUACAUUAAACCGUUUGGUUAGCAAAUCAGAAGGAAGAAGACUUUUUUCUUGUGAGAACUGUGGAAAGGGCUACAAAUGGAAAGAAUCUCUCUUGAAACACCAGCGAAUCGAAUGUGGAAAGCCUCCAAAUUUUUUUUGUGAAAUUUGUGGAAAUCGUUUCAUGCACAAGCAUCAUUUAAUUAAACAUAUGGCAUCCAUACACCAAGUUACGCCUGUGUCGACACAUUCAAGUUUUCCAUACUCGCCACCCAAUCAAGUCCAAUAUUAAUUUUUGCAGAUUAAAAAAAAAUGAUGAUGUAGAAAACCAGGAAAAAAUUCAGUCAUAUAAAUAUUGGUCGCAAUAAUCCUUAAAGGAAAUCCUAUUUUGAUUAAAUUAAUCACUUUAUUGAUCCUACGACCCACAUUUGAUUUUCCUAAAUUACGAUAGACUAAGAACGUGAAGCUCUCAAUAGGAGUAAGAAAUUCAAAUAUUAUUUUUGUGAAUGCAUAUAUUCUAAAAGAGUGUGUAUAAUUAAAGUGA